rnacentral:rRNA from 1 species
CCCUUAGAUGUUCUGGGCCGCACGCGUGCUACACUGAGUGGAUCAGCGGGUCAGGUUGCGCGAAAGUGUUUCCUAAUCUUGAAAUCCGCUCGUGAUGGGGAUUGACGGUUGCAAUUUUCCGUCAUGAACGAGGAAUACCUUGUAAGCGCGGGUCAUCAUCCCGCGCUGAAUACGUCCCUGCCCUUUGUACACACCGCCCGUCGCUCCUACCGAUUGAGUGGUCCGGUGAGGCUUUGGGAUCUGAGCAGAAAGAGCGUUUCGCUGUUUCUGCUCGGAAAACUCAGUCGAACCUUAUCAUUUAGAGGAAGGAGAAGUCGUAACA